GCAGCCGCGGUAAUACGUAGGUGGCAAGCGUUAUCCGGAUUUACUGGGUGUAAAGGGCGCGUAGGCGGGGAUGCAAGUCAGAUGUGAAAUCCAUGGGCUCAACUCAUGAACUGCAUUUGAAACUGUAUCUCUUGAGUGCUGGAGAGGUAGAUGGAAUUCCUUGUGUAGCGGUGAAAUGCGUAGAUAUAAGGAAGAACACCAGUGGCGAAGGCGAUCUACUGGACAGUAACUGACGCUGAGGCGCGAGAGCGUGGGGAGCAAACAGGAUUAGAUACCCC
rnacentral:rRNA from 1 species